rnacentral:rRNA from 1 species
GAUGAACGCUGGCGGCGUGCCUAAUACAUGCAAGUCGAGCGAACAGACGAGGAGCUUGCUCCUCUGACGUUAGCGGCGGACGGGUGAGUAACACGUGGAUAACCUACCUAUAAGACUGGGAUAACUUCGGGAAACCGGAGCUAAUACCGGAUAAUAUAUUGAACCGCAUGGUUCAAUAGUGAAAGACGGUUUUGAUGACACUUAUAGAUGGAUCCGCGCCGCAUUAGCUAGUUGGUAAGGUAACGGCUUACCAAGGCAACGAUGCGUAGCCGACCUGAGAGGGUGUUCGGCCACACUGGAACUGAGGCACGGUCCAGACUCCUACGGGCGGCAGCAGUUGGUAAUCUUCCGCGAUGGGCGAAAGCCUGACGGAGCAGCGCCGCGUGAGUGAUGAGGGUCUUCGUAUCGUAAAACUCUCUUAUUAGUGAAGAACAAAUGUGUAAGUAACUAUGCACGUCUUGACGGUACCUAGUCAGAAAGCCACGGCUAACUACGUG